rnacentral:tRNA from 1 species
CUCUCCGUAAUAUAAUUGGACAAUAUACCAUUCUUCUAAAGUGGCUUAUGUAGGUUCGAAUCCUACCGGAGAGA